GCAGGUCCUGUAGGUGAUGACAUGUUCCACGGGCAGGCUACUAUCAUGGGACCCUCAGACAGCCCGUUUACUGGUGGUCUAUUUUUGGUGAAAAUCCAUUUCCCACUGGAUUAUUCCUUCAAGCCCCCGAAGGUAAUUUCCAGUGUACCGAGCUAA
rnacentral:rRNA from 1 species